AGUAACGGAGGAGUACGAAGGUGCGCUCAGACCGGUCGGAAAUCGGUCGCAGAGUAUAAAGGCAAAAGCGCGCUUGACUGCGAGACAGACACGUCGAGCAGGUACGAAAGUAGGUCUUAGUGAUCCGGUGGUUCUGUAUGGAAGGGCCAUCGCUCAACGGAUAAAAGGUACUCCGGGGAUAACAGGCUGAUACCGCCCAAGAGUUCAUAUCGACGGCGGUGUUUGGCACCUCGAUGUCGGCUCAUCACAUCCUGGGGCUGAAGCCGGUCCCAAGGGUAUGGCUGUUCGCCAUUUAAAGUGGUACGCGAGCUGGGUUUAGAACGUCGUGAGACAGUUCGGUCCCUAUCUGCCGUGGACGUUUGAGAUUUGAGAGGGGCUGCUCCUAGUACGAGAGGACCGGAGUGGACGAACCUCUGGUGUUCCGGUUGUCACGCCAGUGGCAUUGCCGGGUAGCUAUGUUCGGAAAAGAUAACCGCUGAAAGCAUCUAAGCGGGAAACUUGCCUCAAGAUGAGAUCUCACUGGGAACUUGAUUCCCCUGAAGGGCCGUCGAAGACUACGACGUUGAUAGGCUGGGUGUGUAAGCGUUGUGAGGCGUUGAGCUAACCAGUACUAAUUGCCCGUGAGGCUUGACCA
rnacentral:rRNA from 1 species